UAAAGAUAUUUAUAGCAUUUUAUAAAUAUCGUUUUUUGUAGAGGAAAACAAUAAUGUUAUUCUGCUUCCUUCAUAGGUAACUGGAUAGGUUUUCUAACGAAAUUAUCAAUAGUAUGAAUUUCUAAACCUUAUUUUUUUCUGUCAUUGAAAUGGUAAAUCACAAUUCUACAACAAAUAUUUCCACCACCAAAAUAUUUAAUACCAAAUUGUUGAUGGUUGAUAAAUAAGCUGAAUAAAAUACAACAAUAAUCAACAAAAACGUCAUUAAAGCAGGAUUUAAUAAGGUACAUUCCCAUCUGUCAAACCUCUCCCAGAUAACGUGUUACGUUUGUUUAUGAAUAUACCAGAAUAUUCCAGUCGACUAAGUCGUAUUUUGUAAUAACGACAAAAAACAAUUUACCUGGCAAGCCUAUAAAUAUCAAAAUUCGUCUUCUUGCAUUCAGAGUUCAGAAUGUAUACAAGAGGCAUCGUUUUGUUUGUUGCUGUCUCCGCUAUUCUUCUUAUGAAUAGUCAAUUUAGCGAGGGGCUUUACAUAGGUAAUUCUAACUGCAUUUGCUGUUGCCAACCAUGUCCAUGUGAUAAUCCCCCUCCCAGAAAUAUCUUCUUCCAGCAAGCGAACGCUCGGUUAAGUAGUGUUUAGCUUAAAGACCAAGUCGUGGCACAGGCUGUAUAUAUAUAUAUAUAUAUAUAUAUAUAUAUAUAUAUAUGGUUGGAGAAACAUGGACGUUUUUGACUGUUGUGGUUUUUAAAAACAAACUAUAUUAAUAAGUGAGUUUUGUGUGCGGUGUUUAUACGUGCACAUACAUGUAUGAGUUAUUGCGCAAUAUUGUGAUAUUCUAUAACUGAAUUAAAAUCAUGUGAUAUUUCA